UACAGAGGUCCCAAGCGUUGUUCGGAUUUACUGGGCGUAAAGGGUGCGUAGGUGGUCAGGUAAGUCUGAUGUGAAAUCUUCGAGCUCAACUCGAAAACUGCAUCGGAUACUAUCUGGCUAGAGGAAUGGAGGGGAGACUGGAAUACUUGGUGUAGCAGUGAAAUGCGUAGAUAUCAAGUGGAACACCAGUGGCGAAGGCGAGUCUCUGGACAUUUCCUGACGCUGAGGCACGAAAGCCUGGGGAGCAAACGGG
rnacentral:rRNA from 1 species